rnacentral:misc_RNA from 1 species
GAACGCACCUUGCGCUCCUUGGCAUUCCGAGGAGCAUGCCUGUUUGAGUGUCGUUGAAUUCUCAGAACCCUCCUCACAGGUGGGUUUGGAUUGGUGGAGGAUGCAUUGGACUUUGCUUUGCUUCUCUGAAAUGGAUCGGCCUUACGGCUGCGCCACGAACCUUGUCGUCGGUAUGAUAAUUGUCUUACCUGCUUCUAACCUCUGGCAGCCCGGCCCAGACGAGACUAUCGUCUCUAUCUAUCUACAAUUUGACCUCAAAUCAGGCAGGACUACCCGCUGAACUUA